UGGGGAAUAUUGGACAAUGGGCGAAAGCCUGAUCCAGCCAUGCCGCGUGUGUGAAGAAGGUCUUCGGAUUGUAAAGCACUUUAAGUUGGGAGGAAGGGCAGUAAGUUAAUACCUUGCUGUUUUGACGUUACCGACAGAAUAAGCACCGGCUAACUCUGUGCCAGCAGCCGCGGUAAUAAAGAGGGUGCAAGCGUUAAUCGGAAUUACUGGGCGUAAAGCGCGCGUAGGUGGUUUGUUAAGUUGGAUGUGAAAGCCCCGGGCUCAACCUGGGAACUGCAUCCAAAACUGGCAAGCUAGAGUACGGUAGAGGGUGGUGGAAUUUCCUGUGUAGCGGUGAAAUGCGUAGAUAUAGGAAGGAACACCAGUGGCGAAGGCGACCACCUGGACUGAUACUGACACUGAGGUGCGAAAGCGUGGGGAGCAAACA
rnacentral:rRNA from 1 species